UGGGGAAUAUUGGACAAUGGGCGCAAGCCUGAUCCAGCAAUGCCGCGUGUGUGAAGAAGGCCUGCGGGUUGUAAAGCACUUUCAGUGGGGAGGAAGGCCUCGGCGUUAAUGUCGUCGAGGAUUGACGUUACCUACAGAAGAAGCACCGGCUAACUCUGUGCCAGCAGCCGCGGUAAUACAGAGGGUGCAAGCGUUAAUCGGAAUUACUGGGCGUAAAGGGCGCGUAGGUGGUUAAUUAAGUCAGAUGUGAAAUCCCCGGGCUUAACCUGGGAAUUGCAUUUGAAACUGAUUGGCUAGAGUACGGGAGAGGGAAGUGGAAUUUCCGGUGUAGCGGUGAAAUGCGUAGAUAUCGGAAGGAACACCAGUGGCGAAGGCGACUUCCUGGCCCGUUACUGACACUGAGGCGCGAAAGCGUGGGGAGCGAACA
rnacentral:rRNA from 1 species